GUGUUUUAUUAGGUCUAAAGCCACUCGCGCUGCGCGCUCGUGGCUUUAAACCUAAUAAAACACUCCUGCUCAUUUUUUAAAUAGUACAUAAAUAGAACUGAUAUAAUUUACGUCGAUGUGAUUUAAGUCUGUUGGUAAUUAGAGAUAAUCUGGAGUAUGUACAAUCUACCAUCUCUUGCAUGGACUUUCAGGCAAUAAAGCAACUGAAAUUGAUAA